UUCCGGUUGAUCCUGCCGGAGGUUACUGCUAUCGAGGUUCGACUAAGCCAUGCGAGUCGAAUGUAGCAAUACAUGGCGUACUGCUCAGUAACACGUGGACAACCUACCCUUGAGACGGGGAUAAACCCGGGAAACUGGGUAUAAUACCCAAUAGAUCUCGACUGCUGGAAUGCAUCGAGCUCCAAAGCUCCGGCGCUCAAGGAUGGAUCUGCGGCCUAUCAGGUAGUAGUGGGUGUAGCGUACCUACUAGCCUACGACGGGUACGGGUUGUGGGAGCAAGAGCCCGGAGAUGGAUUCUGAGACACGAAUCCAGGCCCUACGGGGUGCAGCAGGCGCGAAAACUUUACAAUGCUGGAAACAGCGAUAAGGGGACCUCGAGUGCCAGGUUACAAAUCUGGCUGUCGUGAUGCCUAAAAAGCAUUGCAUAGCAAGGGCCGGGCAAGACCGGUGCCAGCCGCCGCGGUAACACCGGCGGCUCGAGUGGUAACCGUUAUUAUUGGGUCUAAAGGGUCUGUAGCCGGCCGGAUAAGUCUCUUGGGAAAUCUGGCAGCUUAACUGUCAGGCUUUCAGGAGAUACUGUCUGGCUCGAGGCCGGGAGAGGUGAGAGGUACUUCAGGGGUAGGGGUGAAAUCUUGUAAUCCUUGAAGGACCACCAGUGGCGAAGGCGUCUCACCAGAACGGACCUGACGGCAAGGGACGAAAGCUAGGGGCACGAACCGGAUUAGAUACCCGGGUAGUCCUAGCCGUAAACGAUACUCGCUAGGUGUCGGCAACGGUGCGACCGUUGUCGGUGCCGUAGGGAAGCCGUGAAGCGAGCCACCUGGGAAGUACGGCCGCAAGGCUGAAACUUAAAGGAAUUGGCGGGGGAGCACCACAACGGGUGGAGCUUGCGGUUUAAUUGGAUUCAACGCCGGAA
rnacentral:rRNA from 1 species